UGUGUAGCGACGCCCGCGGAAGGCGCUCGACCCGCGGCGCUCCCUGCCCUACGGGGGCGAGGGCCAAGCCUCCCGCCGCGGACGCGCGCAGCCCUCACCCCGCCGGGCUCGGCCCCCGCCGCUCCGACAGGUGUUGAGAAUCAACCCAGGUGCACUGGAAGAGCAGCUAGUGACCCUAACCACUGAGCUAUCUCUCCAGCCCUGCUUUCUCAGACAGAAUGUCAUGUAGCCCAAUAUGACCUCUGCAAUCGAGUUUGAAGUGAAACCACCUAAAUACCCCAUUGGUAGAAAGAAAGGUUUAUUGGGACUCAAACUGCCAAGGCUGAAGGUAGAGUCCAUGUUUUUAACUCUCUUUUCUUCUCACAACACUGAGCAAUUUCCAAAACAUUUAUAAUGCUAGUAAGUCAUAUUUAGAACAUAAAUGACUAGCCUUAGGUACGACCCACAUCUUGGCCUCACACCUCCUAUGAUAGGAAAUCUCAGUCACUCCUACCUCUGAGGUAAAUGAGAAAAGAGACUAUGACAGAUUGUAAACAAAAGAUCCAGGGCCAUCCCAGACCUGUCAGGUAACUUACAUUGCCACAUCAGUCAGUUCUCUCCUACAUGGCAGCUUCUGCCAGUCCCUCACAAUCAUGAGCUGUUUAAGGCUGAUAUUCUUUUAUUUAAGUACUUUAUGUGUAUUUUGCCUGCAUGUAUGUCUGUGUACUACAUGCAGGAUGGCCCACCAAGGUCACAAAAGGGCAUUGGAACUGGAGUUAGAGACCAUUAUGAGCUCCUAUCAAACCUGGGUCCUCUGGAAUAGCAGCAAGUGCUCUUAACAUCUGAGCCAACUCUUUAGGCCCUUAGGCUGAU